UCGCACCAUGAAGAGGUUAUUCCGAGUGCCUUCACAUUGUGUUGGCUUUUGUCCUCUCUAAAAAAGGUGAAAAAUAAGGGGUGGGCAAGACUGGUGUCAGCCGCCGCGGUAAUACCCGCGCCCCGAGUGGUGGGGACGAUUAUUGGGCCUAAAACGUCCGUAGCCGGUUUUGUAAAUCCUCGGGUAAAUCCACCUGCUUAACUGUUGGAACUCGGAGGAGACUGCAAGACUUGGGAGCGGGAGAGGUGAGAGGUACUUCUUGGGUAGGGGUAAAAUCCUUUGAUCCUUUAAAGACCACCCCGUGGGCGAAGGGGUCUUACUAAAACGAAUUCCACGGUGAGGAACGAAACCCUGGGGGGCAAACCGGAUUAAAUACCCCGGUGUUCCCGGGGGUAAACACUGCGAGCUUGUGGUGGGGGGGCUUUUGGGUGCGCCCAUGGCCCGAGAAAAACUGUUAAUCUUCCUGCUUGGGGAGUACGUCCCCACAGUUAAAACUUAAAGAAUUG
rnacentral:rRNA from 1 species